rfam:Chloroflexi bacterium RBG_13_68_17 RBG_13_scaffold_4107, whole genome shotgun sequence.
GGGGGUGGUUGGGUCCCGGUGGGCUCCCCGGUCUUCAAAACCGGCGGCGGGCCGUUCAACGGGCCGCGGUGGGUUCGACUCCCAUCCAUCCCC